rnacentral:ncRNA from 2 species
AGCAGCCGCGGUAAUUCCAGCUCCAAUAGCGUAUAUUAAAGUUGUUGCAGUUAAAAAGCUCGUAGUUGAAUUUCGGGAUUGACACAUCGGUCGUGCCUUAAGGGGUAUGAACUGGUGUAGUCAAUUUCUCACCUUCUGGAGAACCGCGAUGCCCUUAAUUGGGUGUCGCGGGGAACCAGGACCUUUACUUUGAAAAAAUUUAGAGUGUUUAAAGCAGGCAUUUUGCUUGAAUACAUUAGCAUGGAAUAAUAAAAUAGGACGGCAUGAUUCUAUUUUGUUGGUUUCUAGGAUCACCGUAAUGAUUAAUAGGGAUAGUUGGGGGCAUUAGUAUUCAAUUGUCAGAGGUGAAAUUCUUGGAUUUAUUGAAGACUAACUACUGCGAAAGCAUUUGCCAAGGAUGUUUUCAUUAAUCAAGAACGAAAGUUAGGGGAUCGAAGACGAUCAGAUACCGUCGUAGUCUUAACCAUAAACUAUGCCGACUAGGAAUCAGACGAUGUUAAUUUUUUAAUGACUCGUUUGG